ensembl:lncRNA
AUGCUGUGUCUGAAGAUUGUUAAAGUCGUGACCCAGACAGCCCUCCGCAUUCUCCUACCAGCGCUAGCUCGUAUCAUGGGGGUGAACCUGAGGAGUGGGGCAACCUCCCCAGAAUCCCAGUGCUCUCUGACAGGGUCUGAGGAUUCCUUAGGCAGUCUGGAUGAGAGAGAGAAAAGGCUGCUGAUCAGUGAGAUGAACUACUGGACUAAGGAGAGGAGGAGGAAUGGCAGUGCAGGAUGCCGCCAAAAAUCCACUCGCAGGACCUCAUCACCAUGCUGUUCGCCUAAGAGGUCCCAGACCUCAUUGCAGAGCUUGCCUGCAACUAGAGAGGCUCCCCUCAUGGAGGAGCCUCUGAAGGCUCUUUUUGGGGUAACGGAAGAGAGCCUUCUGAUAUCCCUGGUUGAGGGUCACUCCAACCCCACCUCCUCCAGCUCCUCCGAGUUGAGCUGUGCUAUCGUGGGGGAGGUGGUACACCAGCUUAACUCUGGCCUCUCAGUGGCCAUUCAGGCCAGCCCGGGGAGUUGCCCCCCUAUGGACAGUCAGGACAUAGCAGCAGGCAAGGAGGUCAUUCGGGUAGCCUCGGUUCAGAUCCUGGCCGAGCUACAGAGCCAAACAUCUGAGCCAGAGUGGGUAGGGUUUAUCGAGCCCCUCAUGGACCCUGUGACCGAUGAUGUGCUGGAGGCCAUUGUCGGCACAAUGGACAAAAUGGCACAGGACUUCAACAUCCUAUUGGAUCUGGCCAAGAAGAUGACAAUCUUGGGGUCUAAAUUUCUGACCAAUCUUCAAUGUGACCUAGAUGUUGAGUGUCCAUCUGGGAAGGAAGGGACCACUCACUUUCUCAAAGAGACUGGAUCCGCUACCAGUGUGGUGGCCAGAAAGAUUCAGACCCUCUCUAGCCCCGACUUUCAGUCUAAAGCCCUGAAGGCGGUGAGCACCAUCCUUACAAGGAAAGUCAGCAGCUCUUCUGGCAUGGCUCCUUCCUCUAGGCCUUCUAGUGCUGCUCCUAGCCUUACUGAAGCCCCGCUGAAUACCAGCUGCACAGCCCUGACAUCUGUAACCUCCACUGCCACAGUGAUUGUUAAGGCAUUUGUGGGAGGCAUGGAGACGAUAGCAUCAUUUGAAGACACAUGUGAAGCAGUUGAUUGGCCAGUUCCUGUAAAUGACCACAAAACAGGGUCUUCACAGAAGAUAACCUUCUCUCUAGCCGGCACACUCUAUGGCCGUAUACGAGCAAAGCUGAGGGACCUUUUAACUCUAGCCGCUCGAGAAGAAGGUGUGGCAAAGGAUGCUUCUCUUCGGGAGUCUUCAGACACCCUGGAAAAGGCAACUGUUUCAACUGUUGAGGUCCAGUUACCCAGCACCGAACAUAGUAGAGUUCCCAGAGAGAGCCAACCAAUACCAGCUCUCUGUCUCUCCAAUCUGGAUACCAGUACUCAAGAAGUUCUUAGCAGUGUUUUUUCCAUCUACAAGUCAGAGUUAUCAAAAGUGGAGAGUAAAUCCUUAGCCGUUGUCAGUUCAUCUGAUGAGUCCCUAGAGGCUUGUUGGUUUGUUGAUGGUGUCCUAUCAAAGCUUGAUGACUAUACUAUUUCCCAGUCACCCUCACCCAAUGAAGACUUGAGCGUGAGUACUCAAUAUUCUCAACUGAGCUCAGAAGAGAGUGUCAGAAUCACAGAGUCCUCAACUAGUCUGAUUCAGAGUAUUAAGAAGCUCUCUAGCAAUCACUUUCAGACUCAGGCAGAAGAGGCAGUGAGUAAAGUGCUGAUGAGAUCCAGUCAUUCCUUUAUCACACAGAUCAGCCAUACUGGUCUUCAGAAAAGUCUGCAGGCUGGCUUAUCAUCUAGCUCACCAUCAGAGAUCCAUGUCCUUUCAGAAUCCAUGUCCUCCAUGUCCUCUGAGAAUACAGCCUCUGGAUUAGUGGAAACCUUUGUCAAAGGAAUGGCGACUAUUUUCCAGAAAAAUGAGUCCACUGACACUGUGCUACUGGAAAGAAGUGGGAGAGUUUCACAGUGCUCCCACGGGGGCUCCCAACUGGAUUAUACUGAAUUGAGUGUUAAAAUAUCAGAGGAGAAGCUUUGGUCAACAGCUAAGAACAUCUGCGUCAGUAUGAAGAACACACUUAAGGAUUUCUUCACAGGGCUGAAGCCAUCCGGAUCCGAAAGGACAGAAAUGGCUUCUUCCAAAGAGACCCUUGGGGAGAUCCUGGUUGCUAUCCAGAGUGAAAUCUCAAACUUCGGGCGAAUGAAGGAUUCCAGGGAGCUCCUUCAGAUCAAUGAUAUGGUAGGAACUAUGCUGAAGGAGAUUGAGAAAAGUGAGGAUGACAGUGAACAAGUCUGCCAAGACAUCCCUCGAACCUGUUCAUCUUUAUCCACUUCUUUAAAUGGUCGUAGUUCCUUGUCCAGCUCUUCAAAGGGUCCUAGGUCAGAGUGUGAGUUAGAGAUCAACCUCCCUGGCACUCCCAUCCCUGACGAAGUGCCUUUUGAUCUGACCUGCCCCAUCGUCAGGAGCUCCUGCAUCGACACCAGGGACUCUAAAAUGCCAGAGAUUUCUACAAGUGACCUAAAGACAAAGAUGAUGGCACACACAGAUGAACCCCUGCAUCGUAACAGUCCAAUGACUGACAGCAGCCGACCACCGAGUGCUAAAGUCUCUUUUCGAUCCUCCACUCCGUCUUUCACCAGCAAGGGAACCUCUUUGGUACCAAAGGGAGAGGGGAUUGACAUUGAAGAGAAGGAGGUGUGUAUCCCCAGCAGCUCUGGCCAUCUGAGGGAGCUCUUAAUCAUCCCGGACAUCAGCAGUGCCACUGCAUUCCCACUGCAGUACUUGAUGGACUCCAGCAAAGAUGAUGGCAUCUGUUUUGUCACCAUACUGGUGAUAAGGUUGCUAUCGGAGAUCAGACCCUCAGCCCUAGAUGGACCCUCCCAACAGGCAGCAGAUCUGACAGAAACAUCACAGCAACUCAUCAGACAAGUCCUGUCUGAGUUCUGUGCUGCAUCCAGAUUAUCCAGGACACAGGCAUAUUCCCAGAACCUGAACAUCCAAAGGGUGUUCAGAGGUGUACAUAAAAACCUCAUGGAGGAGUUUGGCUCUUAUAACACCCUGCAAGCAGCUAUGUCCUCCCAGGACCCUGCAUUUGACAGAGUCCUGGUAAAGUCCUUGACCCAGCAGCUGGUACAGGGAUGCAAGGAGGCGUCAAGACCAGCUUCUGCUGCAACAAACCCAUCAGACCAGGCUGAGACGGAGAGGGGGGCUGAGCAGAAAGCAAGAAGGAGCUUCCUUUGCUUUUCAAUGACCAAACUCAGGAUCAACUUCAAGGUAUAGCAGGGAGUUAGCAUUUGUUUUUUGUUCCAGUUAGGUGCUGAUGUUAUUGAUG